AAUGAUAAGGAACUAUAUCAAAUGCAAAUAUUAUUAUUAUGAUUAUUAUCCAGGACAACCUAGCUGUAGACGGAGUCUUGCUCUGUAUUUAACCUGACCUACUCAGCUUGCUGGCUACACAUUGAUCCCCUUGAGAGUACGUCAGGGUGUGUACGUGCCCUGACGUCACACGUCGCGACGUGACUCCUGGAGCCGCUGGCAAUUCUGAGUCCGCCAUCUUGGUAAAGGAAGUAGGAGAGCUCGGACGUUUUUUUCUUGUUUUUCCUUCCCUCAGAACCACCCCGCGCGCUUCUCACAAAUUCUCUCUUCGCCUUUACCCUUUCGGCCACGUCGCGGUCAGAAUGCCGACCAGCUGCGCGGCUUACGGGUGCACGGCGGUGUUUAAGAAAAACACCAACGUCAGUUUCCACAGGUUUCCGUCCAAUGCUUACAGAAGGACAGAGUGGGUACAGCUUGUUCAGCGUGAAAACUUUAUACCUGGCAAGCAUACCUUUCUGUGUUCCAGACAUUUUGAAUCAACAUGCUUUGAUCGGACAGGACAAACCAGGCGCUUGCGAGAGGAUGCUGUCCCUACGAUAUUUGACUUUCCACCUCAUCUUCAAGAUAAAAAAUUGCCUACCAGGAAAUCUGAGCAGAUCCCUGAGGGUGACUGCAGCCAAGAGGGCCCAUCCAAGGCUGUCACCGAGUCGAGCUUCAGCAGCAAAGACGUGUUCUUAGAGCACAGCUACUGUCUAGAUAAUCCCAUUGCGGCCAAAAGAAAAAUUUUCCAGUUACAAGAUGAGGUGGAAGUCCUCAGGAAAAAAAUCAAAAUUAGCAAACAGAGAGAACGACGAGUAGCCAAGAAAUGGAGCUGGGUGAACAAUCUUCUGGAAAACCUAAAGGAGAAAUAUCCUGUGCCUGAUAUCAAGGUUGAAGAGCCUAUGUAACCUACACUGAGUGCCAAAUCACAUAAAGAAAAAUAAGCUACAGCUACUGAAAGACUUAUCAGUGAAGACGGUGAAGUGGCAAGAGAUUUUUCCUAACAGUACUGUUCCCUUCUCUUCAGCUCAAAGCACAGGAAUUCUGUAUUUUCAAUCAUCUAUCCCCUCUUCUCCCCACUUUGAAGAACGUGGGUAGUUGAUGUGGGAGAAUGUAUGUAGGGCCACUGCUCUUUGCAUUUUGCUCUUCAAGAUAAAGGGUUAGCAAUGAUGCAUAUUGCAUCUAUAUAUUUUAAAUGUAACUCUGUUCUUCACAACCUUGAAUUGGGUAGAUGGUUUACGUCAGUCAUUAUCUUGGAGUUAAUGGAGGGCCAGCAUUAUUUGCGUUCACCUCUUCCAGAUAAAAGGUUUGGAAUGAUGCAUGUUUGCAUCUGCAGACUUUAAAUGCAACUCUCUCUCCAUAACUUUUCAAUGUGUAGAUGGUUGAAACAGUGGUUGCCUUGGAAUCAUGGAGUGCCAUACUAUUUGUGUUCAGCACUUCAAGAAAACAAAAUUAGCAAUGAUACAUGUUUCGUUUGUAGACUUUACAUUUAACUAGUGAUGGUUCUGUUCCAGAGAUAUUGGUGUUUUUUUUCAAUUUUCUACACUGGAUGUCCAAUUAAAAAUGGGCAAUGGAUACAUUCCAAGUCAUGGCUUGAAGAGUGAUGCAUUUCCUUUCUCCAUGCAAACCAUCUGUACCAGCUGUUGACACUACUAGAUUUAUCCAAAUUUUGCAUUGUGGACAAACAGCUAUCAAGAAAGGGUUACAUUACUCCAUUCCGCACCAGAUUAUCACAGCUAAGAAAGACAUAUGUGCCUCCAGUAUCGAAAUUGUACAGUAAUCAUUCCUGAGCAAUAAAAUCUUUGCAGUUGUCAGCAAAUUUUGUUGUACUGGAGCCAUUGCUGUUAGCUGAACAAAAGAAGCAGCCAUAGCAGAUAAUCAUCUUCUUGUGUUCUACCUCUAAUGGUAGAGUAUUGCUACAAUAACUUGCACUUGCAUAGCAUAGUUUUGCAUGUUUCAAAAUGCUUUACAGACGUGAUGUGGGAGCCUAAACAUAGUGUGAGACACUGGGUGUGGGAGUAGUUGGAGGGAGAUACUGGAGGGGGGUUAUUGGAGCGCACUUUUUUUCGUACGGUUUUGAAAGCAGAGAAAAAGGGUGCAAGGCUUCAGGGAGAGAAUUCCAGAAAGCGGGGACAAGUUACCUGAAGGCUCAUUCACCGGUAGUGGGAGUGAGGGGCAAAGGAAUUAGCCAGAGGUAACAGAACAGAGGACGUGAGUGGAAGAAUAAAUCCACAAGAAGUUACAGUGGAGCUUGGAGAUAUUUGAAGCUUAUAAUGAGGAUCUUAAAGUUAAUCGCAGAGAGAUAGAGAGCCUAGAAAAGAUGAGGAAGAUUGACUUGCAUUGCUUCAUACAGGAAAGAAUAUGCUACGGAAUUUGGAAUGAUCUGUAGCUUUUGGUGGGUUGAGUUGGGAACGGCGCAAGGAGGCCUUUGGAGAAGUCUAGUUUGGAAGCGACAAGGGUGUUGACUAUGGUUUCAACUGUGUUGGGGAUGAAAGAGGGAGGUCAACAGUGUUGAGAAGAUGGAGGAAAGCAGCUUGAUUAUUACUAGCUGGUUAUUUUAAAUGUUGCAAAAAUAAAGCAAUGAUACAGCAAUUGUUUUUUACUUCAGGAAAACAUGAUGAAUGUAUUUUUACUUACCAAUAGAGCGUGAGUGAUCAACAAACUGGAGAGAAUAUUUCUGAUAGGAGCACAAGAUGAUGUACGGACAUUAAAUUCUAAUGAUGUUUCUAUCUACGCAUUAACACGCUAUUCCUCUUUCAAGUGGUACCAUUCCAUUGCAUUGGAGGGAGGUUGACAGGGUAGUACUCAGACAUUCAGGAACGUUUACAGAAGAAAUCUGCAGUUCAAGGGAAACCCAACCUCUGGAGAAUGAUGACUGACUUUACCUCCAUUUCCAGCACCUGAUAAU